UUCAGGCCUAACACAUGCAAGUCGAGCGAGAAAGUUCCUUCGGGAACGAGUAAAGCGGCGGACGGGUGAGUAACGCGUAAGAAUCUGCCCUUCAGUGAAGAAUACCCUCGAGAAAUCGGGGCUAAUGCUGCAUACGUCCCUCCGGGGAGAAAGAUGGCCUCUUUGCUGUCGCUGAAGGAUGAGCUUGCGUACUAUUAGCUUGUUGGUGGGGUAAAGGCCUACCAAGGCGAAGAUGGUUAGCCGGCCUGAGAGGGUGAACGGCCACAUUGGAACUUAGACACGGUCCAGACUCCUACGGGAGGCAGCAGUGAGGAAUAUUGCGCAAUGGGCGAAAGCCUGACGCAGCGACGCCGCGUGGAGGAUGAAGGUUUUCGGAUCGUAAACUCCUGUUAAGUGGGAAGAAAGACUCUUCUUUAAUAGGGAAGAGGAAUGACGGUACCAUUAGAGAAAGCACCGGCUAACUUCGUGCCAGCAGCCGCGGUAAUACGAGGGGUGCAAGCGUUAUUCGGAAUCAUUGGGCGUAAAGGGUACGCAGGCGGUAUUUUAAGUCAGCUGUUAAAUCUUCCGGCCUAACUGGAAGCUUGCGGCAGAUACUGAAAUACCAGAGGAUGAGAGAGAGAAGUGGAAUUUCCGGAGUAGGGGUAAAAUCCGUGGAUCUCGGAAGGAACACCGAUGGCGAAGGCAGCUUCUUGGCUCAUUCCUGACGCUCAGGUACGAAAGCGUGGGGAGCAAACAGGAUUAGAUACCCUGGUAGUCCACGCUGUAAACGAUGAUCACUAGACGUCAGUUUUGUUUAACAAAAUUGGUGUCGUAGCUAACGCGUUAAGUGAUCCGCCUGGGGGACCACGGGUCGCAAAGAUUAAAAACUCAAAGGGAAUUGGACGGGGGGUCCCGCACAAGCCGGUGGGAACCAUGUGGGUUUAAAUUCGGACACUACGGCGAAGGAACCCUUACCCUA
rnacentral:rRNA from 1 species